rnacentral:rRNA from 1 species
CCUGAACGCUGGCGGCGUGGCUAAGACAUGCAAGUCGUACGGUGCAGCAAUGCACAGUGGCGAACGGGUGAGUAAUGAAUCGCUAACGUGCCCCGGACUCUGGGAUAGCCGCCCGAAAGGGCGGGUAAUACCAGAUGACAUAACCUUUCCGCAUGGUGAGGUUCUCAAAGGUCCGCCGGUCUGGGAGCGGGCGAUUUCGUAUCAGCUAGUUGGUGGGGUAACGCCCACCAAGGCGACGACGCGUAGCCGGACUGAGAGGUUGGCCGGCCACAUUGGGGACUGAGACACUGCCCAGACUCCUACGGGGGGCUGCAGUAACGAAUCUUCCGCAAUGCACGAAAGUGUGACGGAGCGACGCCGCGUGUGGGAUGAAGUUCUUCGGAAUGUAAACCACUGUCAGGGGUAAGAAAGUUCUGAUCUACCCCAGAGGAAGG